GGAAUAUUGCGCAAUGGAGGAAACUCUGACGCAGUGACGCCGCGUAUAGGAUGAAGGUUUUCGGAUUGUAAACUAUUGUCGUUAGGGAAGAUAAAAGACAGUACCUAAGGAGGAAGCUCCGGCUAACUACGUGCCAGCAGCCGCGGUAAUACGUAGGGAGCAAGCGUUAUCCGGAUUUAUUGGGUGUAAAGGGUGCGUAGACGGAAAGACAAGUUGGUUGUGAAAUCCCUCGGCUUAACUGAGGAACUGCAACUAAAACUGGAUUUCUUGAGUGCUGGAGCGGAAAGCGGAAUUCCUAGUGUAGCGGUGAAAUGCGUAGAUAUUAGGAGGAACACCAGUGGCGAAGGCGGCUUUCUGGACAGUAACUGACGUUGAGGCACGAAAGUGUGGGGAGCAAACA
rnacentral:rRNA from 1 species